rnacentral:lncRNA from 1 species
UUCGAGACCAGAUGUAAUUAGAAGACCUAUGUUAGUUAAUUCGUGAAUUUUUUAUGAAUUAUUUAUAAAUUAUUGAAAAUUCGAAUAAAAUAGUCUGUAUGUAAUUUUUUUCCCAGGAAAAAAGAAUAAAAAGUGAUUUUUUUGGGCUAGCCGAAUUAUUCGCAAAUUAUUCCCGAAUUAUUCACAAAUUAUUGAAAAUUCAAAUAUUUUUUAUGUUUAA